UUUUAUAUGAACAUACGUAUAUACAGAAAGCUAUUAAACGGGUGCAUUUGUGUUUAUGUAGUUCCGGUAGAACCACUUCCAGAAAUAACAUUUUUGAGCCGUGUUGAGAGUACAAUUUUGUUUAAAAUUUUGAUAGGCCGUUAAGAAGGCGUUUCUCUGUCGCCGGACCUAUAUAUCUUAAGCGUAGCCGCUUAAAACAAGAAUAAAAUAAUGCCGAUUUUGAUAUUUCGCAGAUUAUUUCAGUCAGAACUUUUUAAAAAGGAGACGCAUUCGACGCUAUUUUUAUCGGCAAAUAUAUAUUGAUUUCGUCAAUACAUAUCGUUUGACCUGAAAAAUGUUUAUCACGCCCACUCCAACGCCCACAAAACCUAACAAAACUAUGGCGACUAAAAUUUGUAUGCUAAAGAAACAAAAUUAAAAGUAUUAUUCUUGUCAAUACACAUAGAUUAAACUGAUACAAGUUUGCAACGCCCAAUAAAAUGCCCAUAACGCUAAAAUUAAAAUUUUGCAUGAUACUCCUUUCUGACGUUUGAGACAUUCGACUAUAGCGUUUUUCUUUCAUAUUGUUUGUGAAUGUUUUUGUUAUAAGAACAUACGGGCCGUUCUUUGUUUACAAAAAUAUUUUGUGUUCCUGUUUUGAUACCAUUGCAGAGCAAAUUUGUCUCUUAGUUUUAGAGCAAUCGGUCCGAAAUAUUUCCAAAAGUUUUAUGCCUUUGGCAGGUAGUAUAUAAGUCGAAAUCAGCGGGAUCGGACAAGUAUAUUUUAUAGCUUCAUAGGAGUAAUCGGAAAAGUAAAUUUAACAAAAUUAUAUCUUUGGUGUUUUUAUACCCGUUACUCGAAGAGGGUUACUAGAUUCGGUAGAAGGAAGCGUUUCCGACCCUAUAAAGUAUAUAUAUUCUUGAUCACCGGUGACCGAGUCGAUCUAGCCAUGUCCGUCUGUCCGUCUGUCUGUCAUUCCGUAUGAACGCUGAGAUCUCCAAAACUAUAAGAGCUGAAACAAACUUGGCUUGCAGAUUCCUUGGCUUCCUGCGCAGUGCAAGUUUGGUGCCACCCCCACUAUAACGCCCACAAUCCGCGAAAACCUGUAGCGCCUACAGUUUUUAUGAUAGAAACAAAAUUUUAACUGAAAUAUGUUUCUUUUAUCAUACCGAUUGACCUAAAAAUAUACCACCCCCACUCUAACGCCCACAAACCGUUCAAGCGCUUAAAUCCGUCACAUAACAUGUACCGAAAUAGUUAGAUGGUAGUGCCCUAAAAUAUCGCUUUGCUGCUUAUGUUCUUCCAUUCCCCUUUUGCUCCCUUAAGCUAGGUAACGGGUAUCUAAUUGUCGAGGCACUCGACUUCUUCCUUCUUUAACAUAUUAUCUUCUACGCUUGCAAAUAACAUAUUUCAAUUAGUUCUGAAUUUCGAAUUUAAUUUUAUCAAAAUUGGACGACUAUAUAAUAUAGCUGCCAUAAAAACAAUCAGAAAAAUGGUGGGAAAAUACUAUGAAAGAAUUUAUAGCUUCAGUGUUUUUUGACUUAUUAACUCAUACUAAUUUUUUUUAUUUAUUUUAAUUGUAUACAUCUAAUUGACUAUAUGUAUUUUUAUGGUAUUCUUAAUUUAUUUAAUAAAAUUUAUUUUAAACAAUUUUAUAUACAUAGAAUAUUAUAUUUAUACAUUUUAUAUAUAAUAUAUAUUAUAUAAUAACAAUGAUAUUAAUAUCUUUCUUGUGGUUUCUUACCUUGACGUGGUUGGGGGUUGAGUAGGACAAAUUUUUUUAAUAAGAUUGAAGCAAGCAAAAAUUCGUUAAAAUUUAAAAUGGUGUUACUAACAUUGAUUAUUUUUUAUAACAACAAACUUCGGCUUGCCAAAGUUAACUUUCUUUCUUUUGAUAGUACUGAAACUGAAUAUACGAGUUUAUAUUAGGAUUUGGGCCAAUAAUAUUUGUCUAAGUUUGAGUUUUUUUAGAUUUGUAUCUGGCUGAUUAAUAUUAAUAUUCGUUUUCUUUUACAAACCAAACAAAAUUCGUAAAAAAUAUCUUUUUUCACUUUCAAUUUUACUGAAACUUUUGUUUCUUAUACUACUUGGUUAGCAAGUAAACGCGUCUAUCAGGAUUUGGUCAAAACAAUAAUAUUUUAAAAUUCAAUUUUUUUAAAAUUUCAAAAUUUACCGAAUUGUAAAAAGUUAUUUAGCUUGAAAAUCUAUAUCCCCAGUUGUACUCAUUAGAAUGACUUAGUUUUUAUACCCCUUAUACGAAAAGUAAGUAAGAAAUAGAAGGAAUAGUUUCGGACUCUAUAAAUUAUGUACAUAUGUAUUUCAGGUUCUCGCAAAGGAAUAUUUUAUUGAAGCGUGCCGAAUGAGAACAUUUUGGAAAGUGUUUUUAUUGAAUCGACUUAACAAGCAUUAUUUGUUAAAAAAAACGAGAUAUCAGAACUUUUGUAUGUUGAUGCUGCGCGAUCUCCACGACCCUAUACCUCUUUAAGAGGUGUUUUUUUUUUUAUAUCAGAAGUUUUUGUUAUACCAUCGCAUAAUAAUAACUUCAUCGUAAUAAUUUUCAUCGCAUAAUAAUAACUUCAUUCGAAUUUGUGCAACGCAGUGAAGGAGACGUUUCCGAACCCAUAAAGCAUAUUUAUUCUUGAUUAGCAUCACAAGACGAGUCGAUCUAGCCAAAUCCGUCUGUCCGUCUCUACCAAACUAGUUUCAGUUUUAAAGCUUUCAGGAUGAAACCUUCCCAAAAGUCGAAUUUAUGUUACAGGAAAAAUCAAAAUAAUGUAUAAUGUAUAGUAAUGUGUAAUGUCAAAAUUUUACUAAUACCGCUAAGUUUCCUUUUCGGCAAACAUAUACGGUAGUAAAUUGAAAUGAAACGGAAUCUUACUAUUUUUGUUGGCAAAACGUUUUAUAUAUCAAAGCUGAGGAAUUUCAAUGGCGAUAUAAUUUCAAAUUAAAAAAGAAAUCGUUUGAUUCAAUUUUGAGAAACCAGGUGAAAAUUGACAAAAAAAAUUUUAUCUGUAACUUUAAAGGUAUUGUAUUUAAGGAAUUUCAGUAUAGGCAGCGUAAUAAGCAUAUUAAAUAACCUUUUCAAAGACUAACGAGUUGAUAGCUUCAUACUUUUUAGAUGUUUAUAAGCUAUAGGCAUUUAUUUUUUUUAAAUUUUUUUUCCGGAAUACGCGGGUUUUUUUGACGGUAGCAGAAGAAAAGUUUUCUAUAUCGAGAUACUUUAUACACCCAUAGGUUUGCCAAAACCCUAAAACGAAGUUGGGAUGCAUACAAACCCACAUGCAAAGGGACAAACAUUUUCAUGUUGGGAAGAAAAUAUUGUUUUUGAAAUUACUUUUGAACUGGACAUCGAAUUUCAACGAAGUAGGUGUCAUUUGACGCGUAUUCUCAAUAAAAAUAAAAAAAGAAAGAAAGAAUAAAACUAUGUUGAAAUCCGGGGACAUUUAUUCCAGCGUAUCCAGCAGCUCCAAUUUAAUAAAUUUUUACUGUUACACUUUCACUUUUUUCCCCAAAAAUUGAUAUUUUCAAAGUUUUGUUUCGUUUGGUUUAGUUUUUCGAUUGGUGUAAUACUCGGUACGAUCUGACCAUAAUAUCAGAUUGAAAAGUCUACAAUUAAGAUAGAAUUUAUAAUAUGUUUUAUAUAGAUACAUUAAAACAAAUACAUUUUUAAUUUUUUAAUUAUAAAAGCAAAUAAAAAGUAAAAAAAAGUUGUUACCAUUGCCCUGUUUGUCACCUACAAUCGGCUUUUUUUUACAAGUUGGAGAAAUAUUUUGUUUUUAAGAAAUUGAAUUUCUAUGAUUUUCUAUGACGUUUGUGUUGAUGCGUAAUUUAACAGUCCCCCUCGCUCACACUCAUUAGAUUCUUAUGGCUAUAAGCUAGCAGUAAGAGUGAGCGUGAUUAAAUAUUUACAAAAAAAAUGAGCUAAAUCAACAUUUUUAAAAAAAAUUAAAAUUUUAAGUAGUUUAGAGAAAAAAAAGAAAACUAAGUUCGGCAUGUCGAAGUUUCAAUACCCUUGUCGGUCGUUCCCGUGGGAUAUUUGUAGGUCAAGAGCUUUGCGUUUUUUAGAAAAUUAAUAAUAAAUAAUUAAUCCUAUUUUAAUUUCUCAUUGUAUAUGUUGGCCGAAAACUAAAUAUAACUGAUUUUUCAUUAUUUGGACAUUAAUAAUUCGAUCGUUCCUAUUAUUAAAUAUUGUUUAGUCGAACGAUUUAAAAAAAAAAAAAUUCGAAAAUAUAAAUUUAUACAAGAUGAAUAUUCCCAAAAGUAUAAAUUAAUAUGUUUAAACACGCCAAAGUUAUUUUUUUAUUUAAUUAAAAUACAAUAAAAAUUUUAUUUUAUUUACUAUGGGAGUUUUAUUUUGUAGUUGGCCCAUCCGACUCGUUCCUAAAAAUGGGAAGGUUUUACACCGAUAGCUUCUAAAGUGUGAAAUCAGUUUGCGUAUAAACGGACAGACGGAUACGGCCAGUGAUGAUGAUCAAGCAAAUAUACAGACCGUUCUUUUACAAAUUGAAUACCAUUUGUUGGGAAACAUUUUUGAUUUGCCUAAAAAAAUUAGCAAAAAACGUUACAAUUCAAUAGGUUGCUCUGUUCGAAAAUCUAUAUCUUUACCUGUAUCCGAUUAACAUUCAUUGCUUUUGUAUUUAGAUCUCUUAAGGCUCAAGUCUUAAAAAAUAUACUUUUGAAGACAAUAAAAUCGAAUUAAAUUUAAAAAAAUUUAGGAUUUGUUUUUUUUUUAAUUUUAAUAUGAGCUAUUAUGAAGAUUAUUAUUUGGUAUAAAAUCAGUAGGCGCCACAGUUUUGCUCGAGUUGUUGGCGUGGCUCAAUAUCUCACAAAUAGUACGGCCAGCUCAAGAAAAAAAAAACUUUUCCGAAUUGCCAGCGAAGUCCAAGUUUUGGUUUUCACUUUUUGCCCACAGCACAAAAUAAGAAAACGAUAUCAAUUCAGAACUAUCGAACGAUAAAAAAAUAAAAAAUAAUAUCGCAAAGAAAGGACAGAUUUCCGUAAAGGUGAUGUUUCAUUUUUUCCGCCUGAGGAAGUUUAAACAAGAAAGAUCGCUAUAGUCGAGUGGCUCGACUACCACUCAGCUUAAGGGAGCUAAAGAAAAUGGAGAUAUAUAAGCAGCAAAGCGAUAUUGUAAAGCGCACCUGCCUGCUAUUUCAAUAGAUGGUAAUGGGGGCGGCAGAAAGAUUUAAGUGUUUUGGCCAUUUGUGGGCGUUAGAGAGGGCGUGCUAAACUGUUUAAGUCAAUUGGUAGGUAUUGAUGAGGCUAAUAGAAUUCAGUUUACAUUUUUUUCUACUAUUAAAACUGUGGACGCCGUUAAAGUGGGCGUUGAAGUAGACGUGGCAAAAUGUUUUAAAACUUAAUCGAUAGGUAUUGAUAAGACCAAUACAUUUCAGUUACUAUUUUCUUUCCAUGCAAAAGUAUGCAGGUGCUUCAGUGCUUAGUGUGGGCGUGCCAAAAAAUUAAAUUAUAUUUAGUAUAUAUACAUAUAUAUUUAUGUCGAUCACCAUCUGAGUCGAUCUAGCCAUGUUCGCUAGCUAAAGAACACACACCACAUAAAACCCUCUAUACAAACACAAUCUACUUAUUAAAAACAAGAAAUAAUCAACGAUUAAAUGUUUAAGGAUUGUUGCUAUCUUCAGUUAUAUUUAAAAAAAUAUUUAUUUCAUUAUAUCUUUGACCGUUUCUUUGACAGCUAUAUGGUAAAGUCGUCCGAUUUUUAUUACAUUGAAUUCAACGUAAGGAGAUAAAACACUGAAACUAUAAUUUGUUUCAUAUUACUUUGCGAUCGAUCCUAUGUUAGCUAUAUGAUGCAGUCGUUCGAUUUUGAUAAAAUUAAAUUCGAAAUUCAGAACUAAUUAAAAAAUGUUUUUCCAAGCGUAGGAGGUAUGUUUAAAACACCAAAGAUAUAAUUUUUCAUAUUUUCGACUAAUUUUCCGAUUGUUUCUAUGGCAGCUAUAUACAUAUAUAUUCGUCCGAUUUUGAUUAAAUUUAAUUCAAAAUUAAAAAACAAUUUAAAAAUGUUAUUUAAAAGCGUAGGAGGUUAUAUGUUUAAAGGCACCGAUGAUAUAAUUUUUUCAUAUCGUAAUAUAUUCCAUCACUCCUCCUAGCUUAGUAACGGAUACUUUAUACAUAUAUGAGGCAAUCGACUACAACGUCUUCUCUUACAAAAUAAUAAAAAAUAUGUGCGCAUGAUGUGUUUUAGCGUUAUAUGCGUUUUUGGGCGUUAGAUUGGGUGUGGCUCCCUGCUAAAACAAACUUGCGUUGUGAGGGAGGGAGUACCAACAUUCUAGCUCUUAUAAUUUCUAAAAUCUCAGCGUUCAUACGGACAUAUGUAGCUAGAUUGACUCUGCUAAGGAUCUUCAUCAUAAUAUAGGGAGUGAUGUGUUGGGUCGUCGAAUACACUAUCUUGCUUUUACUUUACAAGUAACGAAUAUAAAAAAUGACAAAAUUUUCCUUUUGAAAAUAUACCCCGAAUCUUGUUUAAAAUAAAGCGUCUGGACUUAACAAAUAAGGUGGCACUCAUUUUAUCAGCAGGAAGAAAAAGUCGAAUGCGAUGGCUAAGCACAACCUGAUUUACGGAAUUUUCAAUUCUACACCUCUACCGCUCUUUCUCCCAAACACAUUGAAUCUUGGUAUUCAAUCCUCUUAUUUUUUAUAGUGUGCGAUUGGACCAUAAUUGUAGUUCUUUUAAUUCUGUAGAUACGUAGUACUGAUCUUAACACACUCACCUGUUCACUCUUUUUUUAU